UACGUAGGUCCCGAGCGUUGUCCGGAUUUACUGGGUGUAAAGGGCGUGCAGCCGGAGAGACAAGUCAGAUGUGAAAUCCACGGGCUCAACUCGUGAACUGCAUUUGAAACUGUUUCCCUUGAGUGUCGGAGAGGUAAUCGGAAUUCCUUGUGUAGCGGUGAAAUGCGUAGAUAUAAGGAAGAACACCAGUGGCGAAGGCGGAUUACUGGACGAUAACUGACGGUGAGGCGCGAAAGCGUGGGGAGCAAACAGG
rnacentral:rRNA from 1 species